rnacentral:rRNA from 1 species
GUGGGGAAUAUUGGACAAUGGGCGAAAGCCUGAUCCAGCCAUGCCGCGUGUGUGAAGAAGGUCUUCGGAUUGUAAAGCACUUUAAGUUGGGAGGAAGGGCAGUAAGUUAAUACCUUGCUGUUUUGACGUUACCGACAGAAUAAGCACCGGCUAACUUCGUGCCAGCAGCCGCGGUAAUACGAAGGGUGCAAGCGUUAAUCGGAAUUACUGGGCGUAAAGCGCGCGUAGGUGGUUUUGUAAGUGGGAGGUGAAAUCCCCGGGCUCAACCUGGGAACUGCCUCCAAAACUGCAUGACUAGAGUACGGUAGAGGGUGGUGGAAUUUCCCGUGUAGCGGUGAAAUGCGUAGAUAUAGGAAGGAACACCAGUGGCGAAGGCGACCACCUGGACUGAUACUGACACUGAGGUGCGAAAGCGUGGGGAGCAAACAGGAUUAGAUACCCGAGUAGUCC